AUGUAAUCAAGCCGUGGUCACAAUGGGAUGACACAUUCAUAACAAGAUUAUUCCUCUACCUUUCGGCAAGUGCUGGGGCUGAUGUAGCCAAGACCUGAAACACGAGAAGGUUGCAUGCAUCAUGGCGGAUGGAAGCGUCGUUGGCUGACUUGGAGAUAUCAGCGUUAAUAAUUGUGGUUGAUGGCUCUUAAAUGGGAGCUUAUGGAGCACAGUCAAGCUUGCCACAUACUGACCCGAGGUCUUUCUCCUUUCUAAAAAAAAAAAAAUGUAAUCAAGACGUGGUCACAAUGGGAUGGCACAUUCAUAACAAGAUUAUUCCUCUACCUUUCGGCAAGUGCUGGGGCUGAUGUAGCCAAGACCUGAAACACGAGAAGGUUGUGAGUAAGGCAUCUUAAACUGUCUGUCUGCCCUACUGUCUGUCCGUCUGUUGGCCCUACCUUUUCUAACACGGCAUUCAGUAGAUGCUGUAUGAAUACUUUCUGCAACUUCCUGAAGGAAAAUACAAACGUAUCGAUAGUUGGGGAAUGUUACUUUCCACCGGGGAGAACUCUAACAAAAAACACUUACAGCUCUUGCAGCCUGGCCUUCUUCCUUCCUUCAUCCUAUAAGCAUGAAUAGAAUCAUAAAGAAAUAAGUUCUACCUAUGUUGAAAUAAUACAGUUUUUGUAAGGUGGAACUAUAUUAUUGCUUCGCUUUAUUUGCGCAUCUUGCGUUGAUAAACAAAUCAAAACAAAUAAUAAAAGAACAACACUAGAAUAGAUAAGAAAGUUAUAAUAAAAUUGCUUGACUACUCCCA